rnacentral:rRNA from 1 species
CGGGGAAUCUUCCGCAAUGGACGAAAGUCUGACGGAGCAACGCCGCGUGAGUGAUGACGGCCUUCGGGUUGUAAAGCUCUGUUAAUCGGGACGAAAGGUCUUCUUGCGAAUAGUUAGAAGAAUUGACGGUACCGGAAUAGAAAGCCACGGCUAACUACGUGCCAGCAGCCGCGGUAAUACGUAGGUGGCAAGCGUUGUCCGGAAUUAUUGGGCGUAAAGCGCGCGCAGGCGGAUCAGUCAGUCUGUCUUAAAAGUUCGGGGCUUAACCCCGUGAUGGGAUGGAAACUGCUGAUCUAGAGUAUCGGAGAGGAAAGUGGAAUUCCUAGUGUAGCGGUGAAAUGCGUAGAUAUUAGGAAGAACACCAGUGGCGAAGGCGACUUUCUGGACGAAAACUGACGCUGAGGCGCGAAAGCCAGGGGAGCGAACGGGAUUAGAUACCCCGGUAGUCCUGGCCGUAAACAAUGGGUACUAGGUGUAGGAGGUAUCGACCCCUUCUGUGCCGGAGUUAGCGCAAUAAGUACCCCGCCUGGGGAGUACGACCGCAAGGUUG